rnacentral:rRNA from 1 species
GAUGAACGCUGGCGGCGUGCCUAAUACAUGCAAGUCGAGCGAAUGGAUUAAGAGCUUGCUCUUAUGAAGUUAGCGGCGGACGGGUGAGUAACACGUGGGUAACCUGCCCAUAAGACUGGGAUAACUCCGGGAAACCGGGGCUAAUACCGGAUAACAUUUUGAACCGCGUGGUUCGAAAUUGAAAGACGGCUUCGGCUGUCACUUAUGGAUGGACCCGGGUCGCAUUAGCUAGUUGGGGAGGUAACGGCUGACUAAGGCAACGAUGCGUAGCCGACCUGGGAGGGUGAUCGGCCAAACUGGGACUGAGACACGGCCCAGACUCCUACGGGAGGCAGCAGUAGGGAAUCUUCCGCAAUGGACGAAAGUCUGACGGAGCAACGCCGCGUGAGUGAUGAAGGCUUUCGGGUCGUAAAACUCUGUUGUUAGGGAAGAACAAGUGCUAGUUGAAUAAGCUGGCACCUUGACGGUACCUAACCAGAAAGCCACGGCUAACUACGUGCCAGCAGCCGCAGUAA